rnacentral:rRNA from 1 species
GUAGGUGGCAAGCGUUGUCCGGGAAUUAUUGGGGCGUAAAGCGCGCGCAGGCGGUUCUUUAAGUCUGAUGUGAAAGCCCACGGGCUCAACCGUGGAGAGUCAUUGGAAACUGGAGAACUUGAGUACAGAAGAGGAAAGCGGAAUUCCACGUGUAGCGGUGAAAUGCGUAGAGAUGUGGAGGAACACCAGUGGCGAAGGCGGCUUUCUGGUCUGUAACUGACGCUGAGGCGCGAAAGCGUGGGGAGCAAACAGGAUUAGAUACCCUGGUAGUCCACGCCGUAAACGAUGAGUGCUAAGUGUUAGGGGGUUUCCGCCCCUUAGUGCUGCAGCUAACGCAUUAAGCACUCCGCCUGGGGAGUACGGCCGCAAAGGCUGA